rnacentral:lncRNA from 1 species
AUUGAGGUUGGUUGGUGAGCCGAGUUAAAACCAACGUGUGUAAGGGUUCGAUUGUGAUCCCGGAAAAACAAUCGGGGUUGGUUCUAGUCGGUGAGCCUGGAAAAACCGACCGAGUUCGUUGUGAGCUCGUAAAACAACAAGUUUGGUUGUGAGCUUGGAAAACAACCGGCUGUAAUCCAAGGAGUUAUAGUGAAUUUCCAAGUGAGACUUGGGGAGUGGACGUAGGAGCAAGGGUUAGCUCCGAACUACUAUAAAACAUUGUGUUUGUGAUUGUUUGUCUCUCUCUAUCUCUCGCAUUUCAUUCACCGCACAUAGAAACUAAUUAAUCAUCUCGCAAAAGCAUUAAUUAGUUAUCCACAAAAGUUUUAAUAGCCAAAUUAUUUUAAAACCCAAUUCACCCCCCCUCUUGGGUUGUCUAUCUGGGCAACAAUU